rnacentral:rRNA from 1 species
CGGACGGGUGAGUAACGCGUGGAGAACCUGCCGUAUACUGGGGGAUAACACUUAGAAAUAGGUGCUAAUACCGCAUAAGCGCACAGCUUCGCAUGAAGCAGUGUGAAAAACUCCGGUGGUAUACGAUGGAUCCGCGUCUGAUUAGCUGGUUGGCGGGGUAAAGGCCCACCAAGGCGACGAUCAGUAGCCGGCCUGAGAGGGUGGACGGCCACAUUGGGACUGAGACACGGCCCAAACUCCUACGGAAGGCAGCAG